rnacentral:rRNA from 1 species
UGGGGAAUUUUGGACAAUGGGCGCAAGCCUGAUCCAGCCAUGCUGCGUGCGGGAAGAAGGCCUUCGGGUUGUAAACCGCUUUUGUCAGGGAAGAAACGGUCUGCGUUAAUACCACGGACUAAUGACGGUACCUGAAGAAUAAGCACCGGCUAACUACGUGCCAGCAGCCGCGGUAAUACGUAGGGUGCAAGCGUUAAUCGGAAUUACUGGGCGUAAAGCGUGCGCAGGCGGCUUUGCAAGACAGAUGUGAAAUCCCCGGGCUCAACCUGGGAACUGCAUUUGUGACUGCAAGGCUGGAGUACGGUAGAGGGGGAUGGAAUUCCGCGUGUAGCAGUGAAAUGCGUAGAUAUGCGGAGGAACACCGAUGGCGAAGGCGAAUCCCCUGGACCUGUACUGACGCUCAUGCACGAAAGCGUGGGGAGCAAACAGGAUUAGAUACCCACGUAGUCCCUGAGCGGGCUGGCAAGGCGCAU